GUAAGCGCGCGCAGGUGGUUUCUUAAGUCUGAUGUGAAAGCCCCCGCCCUUUAACGGGGAAGUGCAUUGUAAACUGGCGAGACUAGAGUACCUUAGAGGAAGGUGGAAUUUCCUGUGUAGCGGUGAAAUGCGUAGAUAUAUGAAGGAACACCAGUGGCGAAGGCGACCUCCUGGACUGAUACUGACACUGAGGCGCGAAAGCGUGGGGAGCAAACAGGAUUAUAUACCCUGGUAGUCCACGCCGUAAACGAUGACUACUAGCCGUUGGAAUCCUUGCUCCCUUAAUGGCUCAACUAACGCAU
rnacentral:rRNA from 1 species